CUGCUACAUCACUAGCUCCCCUGGAAUGAGCCGAGGUAACAGAACUUAACUCAAUUCUAAGGUGAGUUGGGGUGUUGAUAUAAACAUAAAUAUGGAUGUUGGUUUGAUUUUAGAUUAACUAUAUUUUGGGGUACAAAAUACCAAACUUUUAACAGUGGGUAAGUAGUAGCAUGUGAUAGUUAAAGGGUCAGCACUUAAAUUAGAUGCUAGGAGAGAUAGAGGAGGACAGGACAGAGAUACCAUACAGCUGGGAGAGGUAGAGGAGGACAGGACAGAGAUACCAUACAGCUGGGAGAGAUAGAGGAGGACAGGACAGAGAUACCAUACAGCUGGGAGAGGUAGAGGAGGACAGGACAGAGAUACCAUACAGCUGGGAGAGGUAGAGGAGGACAGGACAGAGAUACCAUACAGCUGGGAGAGAUAGAGGAGGACAGGACAGAGAUACCAUACAGCUGGGAGAGGUAGAGGAGGACAGGACAGAGAUACCAUACAGCUGGGAGAGGUAGAGGAGGACAGGACAGAGAUACCAUACAGCUGGGAGAGGUAGAGGAGGACAGGACAGAGAUACCAUACAGCUGGGAGAGGUAGAGGAGGACAGGACAGAGAUACCAGUCACCAUACAGCUGGGAGAGGUAGAGGAGGACAGGACAGAGAUACCAUACAGCUGGGAGAGAUAGGAGGACAGGACAGAGAUACCAGUCACCAUACAGCUGGGAGAGGUAGAGGAGAACAGGACAGAGAUACCAGUCACCAUACAGCUGGGAGAGAUAGAAGGACAGGACAGAGAUACCAGUCACCAUACAGCUGGGAAAGGUAGAGGAGGACAGGACAGAGAUACCAGUCACCAUACAGCUGGGAGAGGUAGGAGGACAUGACAGAGAUACCAGUCACCAUACAGCUGGGAGAGGUAGAGGAUGACAGGACAGAGAUACCAGUCACCAUACAGCUGGGAGAGGUAGAGGAGGACAGGACAGAGAUACCAGUCACCAUACAGCUGGUAGAGGAGGACAGGACAGAGAUACCAGUCACCAUACAGCUGGGAGAGGUAGAGGAGGACGGACAGGACAGAGAUACCAGUCACCAUACAGCUGAGAGAGGUAGAGGAGGACAGGACAGGACAGAGAUACCAGUCACCAUACAGCUGGGAGAGGUAGAGGAGGACAGGACAGAGAUACCAGUCACCAUACAGCUGAGAGAGGUAGAGCAGGACAGGAGAGAGAUACCAG